GACGAACGCUGGCGGCGUGCCUAAUACAUGCCAGUAGAACGCUGAAGGAGGAGCUUGCUCUUCUGGAUGAGUUGCGAACGGGUGAGUAACGCGUAGGUAACCUGCCUGGUAGCGGGGGAUAACUAUUGGAAACGAUAGCUAAUACCGCAUAAGAGUAGAUGUUGCAUGACAUUUACUUAAAAGGUGCAAUUGCAUCACUACCAGAUGGACCUGCGUUGUAUUAGCUAGAUGGUGGGGUAACGGCUUACCAAGGCGACGAUACAUAGCCGACCUGAGAGGGUGAUCGGCCACACUGGGACUGAGACACGGCCCAGACUCCUACGGGAGGCAGCAGUAGGGAAUCUUCGGCAAUGGACGGAAGUCUGACCGAGCAACGCCGCGUGAGUGAAGAAGGUUUUCGGAUCGUAAAGCUCUGUUGUAAGAGAAGAACGAGUGUGAGAGUGGAAAGUUCACACUGUGACGGUAUCUUACCAGAAAGGGACGGCUAACUACGUG
rnacentral:rRNA from 1 species